UACGUAGGUGGCAAGCGUUGUCCGGAAUUAUUGGGCGUAAAGCGCGCGCAGGCGGUCCUUUAAGUCUGAUGUGAAAGCCCACGGCUCAACCGUGGAGGGUCAUUGGAAACUGGGGGACUUGAGUACAGAAGAGGAAAGUGGAAUUCCACGUGUAGCGGUGAAAUGCGUAGAGAUGUGGAGGAACACCAGCGGCGAAGGCGACUUUCUGGUCUGUAACUGACGCUGAGGCGCGAAAGCGUGGGGAGCAAACAGG
rnacentral:rRNA from 1 species